AGUAAAUAUCGUAUUUUCAUGUCAUAAACGAUCCAAAGGGGUACCAAUUAUUUGUAAAUAUAAAUAGCCCUUUCUACACCUUAUUUUCAACCGUAAAUCAUUUUCACCAGUUUCUCUGCACGAAUACCGAGAGAAACCGAAGUAUGUUCUUCGUGUUCUUCAUAAUCAAACGAAGAUUUGAAGGUGUUAUUGGAAUCCGAUGGAGGCGUAUGAAUAGUCAAAACGAAGCUAUCGACGUGUAGAUUAUAGUUUAAUCAUUCGUUUGUGUGCAGAUUCAACAGGAUUUGGACGAGACGUGUACGCUCGAAGACGUCAGAAAGUCGGAAUGGUAUUGCAAAGCGAAUAAGGGAUGAUUGAGUAAGCGAAGCGAAGUGGCGAAUAGAGUAUAGCUAGAGAUGGUCUAGAGAUUACGAGAUGCAUAGAUUGGGAAAGUGAAGAGAUGAGAUAGAGAUGUGAGACUGGAGUCAGAUUUAAGAAAGGAUUAAAGAUGAAUGGCUAGACUAUGAUUGCGAGUAAGGCUAAGGCUAGGCGAGGAUUCAGAGUUGAGGAUUCAGUGGUCAAGGAGUAUUCAGGAAGAUUUAUAAAGUUGAUGCUAGCUCGAGUUGUGCUAUUGAGAUUCAGAUGUAAGUCAUAGCUGGAAUAGUUGACAGUGAUUCUUCUUAUCGAAGAUGAUCUGAUUUGGUAAGAGAUGUUGUGUAAUAAUAGUGGUUGAUUCUAAUUUCAAUACUGUAACCUGGAAGCGAUCCUGUUGUUUUGGGGGUGAAGAUGUUCUCUUUUAAAUCUUUUAUUUAACGUCU